ensembl:lncRNA
UUUUUAUUAUUGUAUACCUACGGCAUAUUUUAUGUUUUGUUCUUGGUUACAAAUGUCACAUAUUUUUGUCUUAAAGGAAUUUAAUAAACUCCAACCACUAUGACCGAAAUGAGUUUGGUUGUCUUUCUUUAAUUUGUGGGGAAUUAAAUGCAAAGUAUAUGGUUAUAAGUAAACGGUAACAUUCUGGUAUUUAUAACACAAAAACAGUAAUCCUAUGGUAACAAAAUGUAAUCCAUUAUACGGCAACAUACCCUAUAUUACGGUAGGGCACUGUAAAUAAAACAGUAAGUUACUAGCGUCAACUGCCGGUAAAUUGCAGUUAAUUCACAGUAAAAUUGGUUCAAGUUUACAGUAACAUACAGUAAUCCAUUAUACGGUAAUAUACUGUAUUCUACGGCAGUGUACCAUAAAUAACUGCAAAUUAUUAUUGGCAUCCGCUGCCAGUAUUUUACCAAGCUGUGUGAAUGAGAUUGCUGGUGUGAAACCUCCUCAUUUGUACAGCUUUAGCAGAAGUACAGAGGGGGUGGAGGGGGUAUCCGUUUCCAUUCACAAUAUAACACAGAGCCUACUUACUGUUCUGCACCGUGGAGAUACUGAACACAAAUAGGACAGGAAGGAGGCUUUAUCUAACCAUGUAGGAAAUAGAUCCUGAAUGAUUUAAUCCAACACAGUGAGAGUUCUGGUUAAUCGUUUAUAAACUCACACACGAAGGUUAAUAUGAAGGCUGCUUAGAAAAGGAAAACCGUUUUAGUAUUAAUGUUAUUAAUUUCUUGAAAAGACUGACAUUUAAAAAUAAGGCUUCCUUCACAAGAGAUCAGUAUGUGUCCUAGUUAAACAUAUAAUUCUACCUUUCAGUAUUACCAAAAUAAAACAUAUUUUAUGAUUGCGACUCACACAAGUCAUACCACAAACCCCACUGAUAUUUUACAGGUUUUGAAAGGUCUCAGUUGAUUAUUAUGCUCUGGACAGACUGUGCGCAUUUCAAACACCUUUUGUGUUAAAUCUUGACGAGUCCACCUCCAUAACACCUCUCUUUGCACAACUUUGCCACAUGUUCUGAUUGUGUCGUAGCAAAUCAUGCAUCCAUACACGCACUAAUAUCGACACAUGAGAAGAUGCCACCGUGAAUUCAUCAACUUUCAUUUUCUAUACGCUAAACUUCCUAUUAAUCUUUAAGCAUCUCUGCCCCAUCUACACAAGCUCGUGUUUACUUGUAGGUUGAACAAAAACAGAGUGCAUGCCGUCCAGAAUCAUGUUAUCAGUAUUCAUUACAUCGCGUCACGAGAAGAAAAUUCCUCCUCAGCCCCCUUCUGUCAUUUCCCUUGGGCUUUCUAAGAAUCCACUGAAGGUUAAUUUAUUUAAAUCCUCCAUUCACUCAUCUCUAUUCCAUUAAACUCUCCUAAUAAAUCUUUGGUUUGCCAUGUAAUCUGUUUCCUACUGUCAAAGCCCCAACCCUCAACUGUCUUUUACACAUAUGCUAGUGGAUGUGCGCUCACCGGUAAACAUGGCAGCCGAUAAGGUCACAUUAAAAUCAGUAGUAAUCAUGAUCUGUGUGUGUCUGCAGGGUGUGAGUUUGCGGAGGUCCACAUAUGUCUGCAAAGGCAUAUGUCCUUUGAAUGUGGCCAAAAAGCUUGGUUUAAUUAAUGUGAGUGCAGCUCGUGGUAGGGGGUCAUAAAAUCAAAUGGCCGAACCCUCUCAGCCCCCGAGGAAGCUCUAAAGUCCCGAAGCUCCUGUCUAAGCACGUUGUGAGAGUAUUUCCCAUCUGCCCUCUCUCCUUUUUUACAUACCAUAAUAAAGAACAUGGUCAUACCUCUCUGGCCAUGAUAGCGUUGAUUAUUCAGAGGAGCAAGGGGACCUUGGCUAUAUGGACAAGCUGUGCAUCAUAAUUACUGCAUGUCAUGUCAGCGCUACACAGAUGCCGUUAUAAUGGCUGUUAAAAGGCUCAGCUGUUGGUUUAAUAGCGGGUGAAGCCGUGUGCAGUCUGUUGAAGGGCUGGUCUCGCUGAAUUCAAUCUGGGUUCAAGAGGGUUUGUCGAUGAGAGGCUUGGAGGCAUAGACAAGUUUAAUAGACCUCGUGAGGUUAGACUGAUAGAGGUCCGGCAACGGUCAGUGUAACGUCAAAUAAUGGCAAUUAAUGACCUGACACACAAGUGAGCGUUGGGUAUGGCAAUGCUUCUUAAUUGAUGUAUGAUGAAAGACAAGAUAUGCAAAUUUGGGGACGCCUCAUCAUUUAGUCAUGAGCGGGUCACACUUGCCUUCUCACAUUUGAAAAAACUGCUGACUCAUCUCAGAGUCAUC